UAAGACGUAGGGGGCGAGCGUUGUCCGGAUUUAUUGGGCGUAAAGCGCGCGUAGGCGGCCCGUUAAGUCGGGUGUGAAAAUCCGGGGCUCAACCCCGGACUUGCAUCCGAUACUGGCGGGCUGGAGGCAGACAGGGGAGAGCGGAAUUCCUGGUGUAGCGGUGAAAUGCGCAGAUAUCAGGAGGAACACCGGUGGCGAAGGCGGCUCUCUGGGUCUGUCCUGACGCUCAGGCGCGAAAGCUAGGGGAGCAAACAGGAUUAGAUACCCUGGUAGUCCUAGCCGUAAACGUUGGGUGCUAGGUGUGGGGCGGUCGAUUGACCCGCUCUGUGCCGAAGCUAACGCAUUAAGCACCCCGCCUGGGGAGUACGGCCGCAAGGCUA
rnacentral:rRNA from 1 species